rnacentral:rRNA from 1 species
UGACCGAGCACGCCGCGUGAGUGAAGAAGGUUUUCGGAUCGUAAAGCUCUGUUGUAAGUCAAGAACGGGUGUGAGAGUGGAAAGUUCACACUGUGACGGUAGCUUACCAGAAAGGGACGGCUAACUACGUGCCAGCAGCCGCGGUAAUACGUAGGUCCCGAGCGUUGUCCGGAUUUAUUGGGCGUAAAGCGAGCGCAGGCGGUUUGAUAAGUCUGAAGUUAAAGGCUGUGGCUCAACCAUAGUUCGCUUUGGAAACUGUCAAACUUGAGUGCAGAAGGGGAGAGUGGAAUUCCAUGUGUAGCGGUGAAAUGCGUAGAUAUAUGGAGGAACACCGGUGGCGAAAGCGGCUCUCUGGUCUGUAACUGACGCUGAGGCUCGAAAGCGUGGGGAGCGAACAGGAUUAGAUACCCUGGUAGUCCACGCCGUAAACGAUGAGUGCUAGGUGUUGGAUCCUUUCCGGGAUUCAGUGCCGCAGCUAACGCAUUAAGCACUCCGCCUGGGGAGUACGACCGCAAGGUUGAAACUCAAAGGAAUUGACGGGGGCCCGCACAAGCGGUGGAGCAUGUGGUUUAAUUCGAAGCAACGCGAAGAACCUUACCAGGUCUUGACAUCCCGAUGCUAUUUCUAGAGAUAGAAAGUUACUUCGGUACAUCGGUGACAGGUGGUGCAUGGUUGUCGUCAGCUCGUGUCGUGAGAUGUUGGGUUAAGUCCCGCAACGAGCGCAACCCCUAUUGUUAGUUGCCAUCAUUCAGUUGGGCACUCUAGCGAGACUGCCGGUAAUAAACCGGAGGAAGGUGGGGAUGACGUCAAAUCAUCAUGCCCCUUAUGACCUGGGCUACACACGUGCUACAAUGGUUGGUACAACGAGUUGCGAGUCGGUGACGGCGAGCUAAUCUCUUAAAGCCAAUCUCAGUUCGGAUUGUAGGCUGCAACUCGCCUACAU